rnacentral:rRNA from 1 species
UACGGGGGGAGCAAGCGUUGUUCGGAUUUACUGGGCGUAAAGGGCGCGUAGGCGGCCACCGCAGGUCGAACUGUGAAAUCUCCGGGCUUAACCCGGAAAGGUCAGCCGAUACUGCGGGCUAGAGUGCAGAAGGGGCAACUGGAAUUCUCGGUGUAGCGGUGAAAUGCGUAGAUAUCGGGAGGAACACCAGUGGCGAAGGCGGCUUCCUGGCCUGUUCUUGACGCUGAGGCGCG